rnacentral:rRNA from 1 species
ACCCCGUCUUGAAACACGGACCAAGGAGUCUAGCAUGUGCGCGAGUCAUUGGGAACUAAUAAACCCAGAGGCGCAAUGAAAGUGAACAGCGCAGCGCAAGUUGCCGCAGGGAAGAUGGCGGACGGUAAUGCAAAUCGCCGUCCUCGCCCGCAAUCCCGAGGCGUUUCGAGAAAUGCCACCGUUGCGAUUAUCGAGACGCACUGAGAGCGCACACGCUGGGACCCGAAAGAUGGUGAACUAUGCCUGGUCAGGUCGAAGUCAGGGGAAACCCUGAUGGAGGACCGAAGCGAUUCUGACGUGCAAAUCGAUCGUCGGAACUGGGUAUAGGGGCGAAAGACUAAUCGAACUAUCUAAUA